AUGAAUUGGAGGGGAGCGGUGGGGCACGAUUCAGUCCACUGCACACCGUUCUCCUCUCCAGACCUCUCACUGGCAAGUCCUUUCAUCUCAAUUUCAGUUCUGUGAGGCCGUCCUACUAUUGUCUAUCACCCUGUUUGAUUUUUUUGUAGCCUCAUCAUUUAUUCAUUACAGUUUCUUAAGUUCUUUUUUUUAGGGAGCUUGUCAUUGCCUAGAAGAGUGCUGGGCACACAAUAGUGAUACUGAAUAUACAACUAAAAUCAUGUAAUAUAGCACAUGAGAUUCUUAAUGCUAAAAUUAAGACUUUUUAACAUGAAAAAUGCUCUUAAGGGCAGAAAUGAAGCAAAUUUCAGGCAAGAUGGCAGACAAGACUGAAACGGAUUCAUCCAUCAACUGCUACAGACUUAAAAAACAAAAUAUGCCCAAUGCAAAGCUGAGCUCAGGAAAUCCUCAGAUGCUAGAGAUAAAGACAAAAUCCAGUUGCAGAAGUGAGUUCCAGGUGAUGCCAGGAGACCCCAGGAAGUAUCAGAUUAGGUCACAAAACUAGGAAUAAGGUUUUAAUGUCUUCAGAAAAACAGAGCAUUUGGUGAGAGAAGGGAACUAAUCCGAGACUCCCGCAUACAACCAGGACACUUGAAGGGCUGCCUCACCUGUGAAAAAGAAACUGGAAAAAUCUCUUCAAAUCUGUCUGUGGAAACAGAAAGACAGCCUGGUGUUUGACAAAGCUCUCGGUGGGACAAACCUCCUCUGAGAAAUGGAAACCUAGGAAAUCAAAAGCCCAGAAAUUAAGGGAAAGCAUUAGUCUCAGAUAAUGAAAAGGAAACCCUUGGGGCCCGGGCCAAAGCAAAUGUAAAAACAUGAACACUUGCAUAAUCUCGUACAUGGGACUCACAGAAAAUGCAACCCCUAAUAUAGAUGAGCUCGCAAUGAAAAAUUAUCCACCACUGUGGCAAUGCAGUCACCAAAAGGAAGACUCAACAGACCAAUGAGCAUAGACACGAGCUGUGGAGGUAACAACUGGAAACAGAAGAAUAAAAUCUCAAGAUAAAUAAUUUAAAAAUACUUAACAUGGAAAAAUAUUUCACUUAAAAAAUAUAACUUUUAGAAAAAAUAUAGUAUCAUUAACUUAAAAAUUCAGUAGCUAGGUUGAACAAUAAAUUCACCACAAAUGAAAAGAGAAUUAGAGAUCUGGAUCACGGAGCUGGAAGAUGAAUGCAGAGGCAGCACAGGGAGGUAAAGCAAUGGAAAAGAUCGCAGGGAGUCCCAAGACCCGGGAUGCUCCCUCGAGUCACUCACAGGAGCUCCAGAGGAAAGGACAGAUCAUGGGGAAAGGCAAUAUUUGAAGCAACAAUGACUGGGAAUUUUUCAUAAUUAAGAAAGAUGUAAAUAUUCAGAGGGAAAAUGCAGAUCUAGACACUUUUCAGAAACACUAUGAAACUCCAAAGUCAAGGAAAAGAUUAAAAGCAACUAGAAACAAAAGACAGUUUACAAUAAAAGAUCCAAAUUAGAUGGAAAUUACAUGUCUCAUUAAUAAAAUAGAGGUCAGAGAAAAGGGUAAAAAAUGUUCAACAUGCUCAAAGAACAAAAGUUAUUCAUCUACAAUACAACUUAGUAAAAUUAUCAUUCAAAAAUAAAGACAAAUCAAAUGUAUUUGACUAAGACUGAAGGGUAUUUUUUUAACCCCUGGAUCAUCAACUUUACCAAAGGAUAAAAUUUAUUAAAAAUAUGAUCAGCUUGUCGAAAGAAUGAAUCAAUGACACUCUGUCUUCGUGGAGAGCAGCCUGGGUGUGGAAUCAGGCACCCCCGGGUUCAAAGCCAUCACUGUGAUUGAAGAACAGAAGUCAUUCGUGAAGGACACAGCACACACAGCCCAGAGAGCUCGCAGGUUAAAACUGCACAUGGAGCAAUGUCUGCCAGCCAUUCAGGCAAACACAGUAUUCACAAUCAAGUUAUUUAGACCUUUUAGAUUGUAUACAAAUGACAUAGAAAAAUGUACAGCCAGUC
rnacentral:lncRNA from 1 species